rnacentral:lncRNA from 1 species
CACAGACAUCCACCUGCCUCUGCCUCAGCAGUGUUGGAGCUAAAGGCCUGCCCACCGUGCCUAGCAAAAGACAAAGCCUUAAUGACUCUCAAGACACACCCACCCUCAGCCCAUCACACCUGGCUGUCCCGGCUCAUCCUGGCUCACCUUGCCACAAGUUACCAUAGCUGCCUUGGCACGGCUUGGAUACACAGGCAAACCAAACCCAAAGCCUUUGCAUCUCUGGUUCCCUUUGCCUGGAGUGCCUUCUCCCCAGUCUUGUUCACCUGGGAAAUGUCAGAUCCCUAGGAAGAGAUGCCACUAUGCCUCAGCGCGGCUACUGAUCCAGCAUCAUGGACACAAAUCAGAUUGAUACAGUCCACACAGUCAUGGAGGAAACUGUCUGUCAGGAUCUACAAUCACCUAGGAGACUAGCCUCAGGGCAUGCUGUGAGGAAUUAGUUAAAUGAGGUCAACGGAGGUGGCAGACCCACCUUCC